rnacentral:lncRNA from 1 species
GCUGGGAUUAAAGGCGUGCGCCGCCACCGCCACCCAGCUUUGGUCAUAUUUUAACUGGGCUUAUUAACAUUUCUGUGGUACUACAGGAGGGUCCAAAAUGUGCUGAUUUAAGUCAAAGUCUUGCUGUUAACUUGGGAGUUACACAAUACUUCCUUACCGUAUCACUAUGGGUACAAAUACCAUAUCAAGAUGUAUCACAGUAAUGUUUUCUCUGUGACACAGAAUCAGUAAUUCAAAAAUCAAGACAGUCAGACUAAACUUUUUCAGAAAGUUUGUGUUGCUGAUAGCAUUUAGGUAUCAGUCUGUAGAGAAAAAGGAAAGGCUGGAGUGAUGGCUCAGAGGUUAAGAGCACUGGGGAACCUGGGUUCAGUUCCCAGCUCUCUUAUGUUCAGGCAGAACACCUAUAUACAUAAAAUUAAAAAUAACGCCUUGGUGGUUAAGAGCACUUGUCUUUGCAGAGGCC